AUUUCAGAUUUGUGCUUUCUUUUUCUCUCCUUUUAUCUUCUCUCUCCUCUCCGGGGCUCAAUUCCCCACUUCAUUCCGAUCCCCAAAAAGUCGGUUUGCGAGAACCAGUAGCAGAGCAAAGAAGGAGAGGUGAUUAUUGCCUCUGGUCCAAGUGAGAAUUUUCUCGCUCGAUUUGAGAAAUAGGUGAUUUUUCUGAUCUGAAUCUGAUCUGGAUCUGGGUCUUCGAUUGGACUGACUUUCCGUGCGAUUAUUACCGUAAAUUUGUAAGCUUUGAGCAUUUUGAGCUCUGGGGCUGAGUGGUAGAGGUGGAUUUAGUCGUUUACUCUGAAAAUCGGACUGACGCGGCCUAGUUAUACUCGUUGACUCACUGAAUCUUUGGUAAUGGAGACUCUUCAUGUUGUGGCGCAGCAUAAGAACCAGUACUACAACCGGGGGAAGCCACACGGCCUGGGCAGAGUUGGCCCGUCGCCGUCCAAGGGCUUCCGAGGGAUCAAUUGCCGGACUUUCCAAUCCGGGUCAGGUAUGCUCCCUACCCCAUCCAAGGCUUGCUCUACUCCUGUAUCCAAACAGAGAGCAUGCUCUGCUUCUCCUUCUCGUAGGAUAACUGCACCUAGUCCAAACAAGACGCAUACACCUAGUCCAGUUUCACAGUCUGAUAGCAGGACACUGAGUAAAAGCACCCCAAUUGCUAUCGAUGUCAAAAACUCGAAGAAAGGCGAGCACUUCAAUGGAAGUUUUUCAUUUUCCGAGCUCUGGGCGGGCCCGGCUUACUCCAACUCUCCCCCACCGAGUUCGUUGCCAAUUCCCAAGUUUUCAAUCCGUCCCAAGAGAACCGUGUCGCUCGAAUUGCCCAAGUCGCCCGCUGACGUCGAAAUGCACCACCCAAUUGCCAAGUCUGCACCUGCAUCCCCAACAAGGGAGCAUGGUGGGUCUGCUGCUAGGGAUCUCUUUGACAACGCUGACUCCGCGACCAAGACUCUGCGUCGCAUUCUGAAUCUCGAUGUUGACGAUGAAUGAAUGGCGGAUGGAGCACUAGGCUCCUGUAAAUAGGUUUAAAUUGUUUAUAGAAUGAAUAAAUUGGUUGGUAGACUUGGUAGUCUUGGUUUGUGAUGAGUGUGUUUAGUUUUCUGUGGUGGUGCUACAAGUUAAAGUCAUGGUUGUGGUGGGUUAACGAUCUCUGGAUGUUGGAUGUGGAGUUGGUAUUGGGAGAUGAAUGGUUUGUUUGGAGAAAUUAGCAUGGUAUGUGUAAUACGGGAUUUUCGACAUGGAUGGAACUGACCCAAAUUUUUAUGGAAGCGGAAGGAAAUAUUGGUAGGCUUGUACUUUCGAAGCGGAUGGUUGUCUGCACUAUUGAAUGCGGGAGAUGAACGUUGGGAAGAAUUGGCAUUGAAUGUGUGAUAUGGGAUUUUCGACAUGGAACUUAACUGAAAUUUUAAGGAAGCAGAGGGGAAAUAGUGGUACAAGGCUUACUUUUGAAGCGGAUGGUUCCCAGCAAUCUGGAAUGGGAGGGAUUGUGCAACUUGUCAUUACAUAUGAAAGCAGAGGGAAACUACAUUAGACUUGAAUGUUCCAAUGUAAUCCCCUCACAAGUUCGCUAAUUCUUGUUAACCCUUUUAGAGUUAGGUUUAGAUGUCUUGUUUCGUUUACUGCGUGUAUACUGUAGAAUGUGUAGUGAUCUGUCCAUACAGAACUCUGUAGGUUUCUAUUGGUUUCGUUUUUCUUCUGCAUCGCGUCUUUGCUUCCUUAGGAUUUAGAGUUAGUGUCCUUAUAAAUAGUCUAACAUUGGUUAGUCUCUUUGUUCCGUAGUACAGGAUUGUCCGAAUAGCUGCUUAGGUAAUCUUCUUUCAUUAAACUCUCUGCCUUUGUUGUUAUAGCUUCGUUUGCCUUCAUAUUCAACGUAACGUUCUUUACUUCUGAUAACAAUCUAACCUCUUUAACUACACUCUUAUCAAAGGGUGUUCCGCCCCCUCCACCAUCUUUUCUGUUUUUUAAGAAAGAAAAGAGGGAAGGGGGAGCGAUUGUUCAUUCGUACUUCUGCUUCAUUGCUUCUUCAGUCUUUAGGGUUGGUCAAUCUGUGGUUCUGUCCUGUAAGAUGUCCUGAGUUGUUCUUGUAAAUGAAUUGUGCCGGUCAUGGUCUUCACAUCGUUUUCAUCCCUGGAGGUUGUUAAUCUCGCCCUGCCAUCAACAAGGGUGCAAGUUGGGCAAGUUGGGAAAGUAUUCCGGAGGUGUUUUUGUUAGCAGUUCAUGAUGUGGUCCUUUACGCGUAUGAUGGUUCCUUGGUGAAGGCAAAUGCAGUUCCAGCAUAUCAUCACUUGUGUUGAGGAAUGGAUGAUGUGUGGAAAAUCUCUCUGUCUUGUGUACUGGGGAUUCCAUCGAUCGGACAAUUGUCUUUGUCGGGUGGAGUAUUGUAGCGUCGGACAAAUAUGUGGUCGCCAUUUAUAUCGUCUACUUAAAUUUCAAUGUUGAGUUUGUUCUUCUGUUGUCUAAUUUAAACUUGGAUGCUAGCUUGUUUAUCUUCGUCUUUCGGAUCCGUACUUUAAUUUUAUGGAAGUUAACAUUAUUUA